rnacentral:misc_RNA from 1 species
GAUGAAGAACGUAGCGAAAUGCGAUAAGUAAUGCGAAUUGCAGAAUUCAGUGAAUCAUCGAAUCUUUGAACGCACAUUGAGCCCGCCAGUAUUCUGGCGGGCAUGCCUGUCUGAGCGUCGUUUCGACCCUCGCGCCCGGCUUCUGUCGGGGGCGGUGUUGGGGAUCGGCCACACCCUUCAGUGGGAGGCCGGCCCCUAAAUUCAGUGGCGACCACGCUGUAGCCUCCCCUGCGUAGUACUAAAACCACCUCGCAGGCGGAGAGCGGUGCGGCCCGCCGUAAAACCCCCCAACUUUUACAAGGUCGACCUCAGAUCAGGUAGGAAUACCCGCUGAACUUAAGCAUAUCAAUAAGCGGAGGA